GAUGAACGCUGGCGGCGUGCCUAAUACAUGCAAGUCGAGCGAACAGACGAGGAGCUUGCUCCUCUGACGUUAGCGGCGGACGGGUGAGUAACACGUGGAUAACCUACCUAUAAGACUGGGAUAACUUCGGGAAACCGGAGCUAAUACCGGAUAAUAUAUUGAACCGCAUGGUUCAAUAGUGAAAGACGGUUUUGCUGUCACUUAUAGAUGGAUCCGCGCCGCAUUAGCUAGUUGGUAAGGUAACGGCUUACCAAGGCAACGAUGCGUAGCCGACCUGAGAGGGGGAUCGGCCACAUGGGAGCUGAGCCACGGUCCAGACUCCUACGGUAGGCAGCAGUAGGGAAUCUGCCGCAAUGGGCGAAAGCCUGACGGAGCAACGCCGCGUGAGUGAUGAAGGUCUUCGGAUCGUAAAGCUCUGUUAUUAGGGAAGAACAAAUGUGUAAGUAACUAUGCACGUAUUGACGGUACCUAGUCAGAAAGCCACGGCUAACUACGUG
rnacentral:rRNA from 1 species